GGGCUGAUGGGAGGUUUGAGGAGCUGUUAGAAACCACGUGGCCCUCGUCUGAUCUCACAGCUCGUCCUUGUUUGGCCUCAGCUGCAUCAGAGCGCCACUUCUCCCCAGGUUCACCAGAGGAAACACCACUGCACAAAAUGCUUUUCCUCCCAGCUGCUGCUCUGUGCUGUCUGUGUUCAGCGCUGGUUGCCAUGGCAGCAGAGCUGAUUCAGAAAGAUUUAACAUUGACCAGGAGAGCUGGUAAAAAAGUCUCCUUCAGCUGUGGAGGAACUAACGAGUGUAGCAAUACAUAUGUAUUCUGGUACCAGAAGAAAGACACAGAAACAUUCACAAGGAUUCUUCGUAUUGAUAUGUCGAAUGGUGAAGAAUAUAAAGGUUACAGUCAUCCUCAGAAAAAUGAUUUCACAGGUGUAAAAAAUGAGAACGUCUAUGAGUUGAAGAUUCAGACAGUUCAACUCUCACAUUCAGCCACCUACUACUGCUCGUGUUGGGAUGGUUCCCACAGUGAGAAAUGAUCCCUGCAGCCUGUACAAAAACCUCCAGAUGAACAGAUGUCAAACAGUGUUUGUGACAGGAAGAGAGCAGUAAA